GGGCGUAUAGCUCAGCUGGUUAGAGUGUCACAUUGACAUUGUGAAGGUCUGUGGUUCGAGUCCACAUACGCCCACCA
rnacentral:tRNA from 1 species